ACAAAAAUCAGGCCUCAAGAAAACUAAAUCCCACAGGUCUUCCUUGUGGGAUUUCUGUUUCUCUCUCUUUCUUCUCUGCUCUUUUUCCACUGCCGACCUUCCUCCACUUACUUUGCCUGUCCUCAGCUUGCACCAAGCUCCUCAGGACUAUCCAGGCCCCAUCUACAUCAUGCAAUUCCCCAAAUGGCCUUUAAGCUUUGGUUUCCAUUGCUAAUGGACCCAGCCUCUGAGUUUCCCAAUUCUAAACUCCCAGGGGAGGAAUUUGAUUGGCCCAGAUCAUCUUUUCAAGUCUAUGGGCCUUGGAGAUUCUUAGCUAGCCUGUGGCUGCCCCCUCCUCUCAGUCAGGGCUCUGUCCCCCUGCCAUCAGUAUCAGUCACCAUGGAGCAUUGUCCCAUGGAGCAGAAGGUGUUGUCCACUUAGCGGGGGUGGCAGGCAUAGAGCCCUCAUUUAGAAGGGAGCGCAGCAGGGCAGGAACACUUAGCUUAGCUAACUCAACUGGAGAAAGACCAGGUCAUUUAUCAAAGUCAAAGGUCAUUCUUCUAGCUCGCUUGUUCACAACAUUGACUGAAAAGUGAAAGUCUGAAUUAUCAACAUGCCCGCUAUGAGAAGCGGUAUAGAGUCCUCCUGAAGUUUGCAGAUGGCUAUAAGAUCAGCAGAGGGAGAGAAGAGCCAGAUCAACCGCCAGCGAUUGGUGGAAUUUCAGACACUAGAGCCUUCUCCUCUCUAAGUUGGCAGGAGAAGAAGGGGCAGGAGGAAAUCUAGCCUGGCAGAACUUGUCCUGCUUCUGCCACAAACAAGCCGGUGAUGAAUGUGUUACUUUCCUUCCUCCUACCUCACCCCAGGCCUCAGUUUCCCCACUGAUUGAAUGCUUGGAGCCUUCCCAGUGAUGAUCAAACUGUGCCCUGCAGGACCAUCACUUGGAGGGCUUGUCACAACACAUGCUGCUGGGCCCCACCCCUGGAGUUUCUGGCCCAGCAGGUCUGGGUUAGGGCCUGAGAAUCUGCAUUUCUAAUAAGUUCCCAGGAGAUGCUGAUGCAGAGGACCCAAGCCUACACUUGGAGGGCCCCUGGUCUAGAUCAUUGCUAAGGCUCCUUCCAGCCAUGACACCCUGGGUCUAGUCCGCUCCUGGGGUUAGGUUCAGUGAGAUUCCUGGUCAGUGUGGAGCACUUGGAUUGUGUGCCAGGGAAACCUCUUGCUUGAGUUAAGAGACCUUUCCUGAGCCUCGUAGAGAUCUGACUGUGCCCCCCGCCACUACCACCUUUUUUUUGCCUCUCACCACCACAAGGACCAUUUUACCAGAGAGUCCUGGGCUCCAGAAAUACCCAGCCGCCUUCCCAGCCUGCUGGAAAAUGUUGACUUUCUAUUUCCCUCCUUGGCCAAAUUUUGUGGGCAGCGUGGCUCCCCGACACGUAGGCCGCACAAUUGGCUCUCACAACUCACUUCCUCAAAGGUGAUCCCAUGUCGUUCUGCUGUCCAUGAUAAACAGCUCCAGACUGGGCAGCCCAAACCCAGGGGAAAGCCAGCCUGCUGUGGAUCUGGAAAGUUCCCCGCAGGUCUGUAGAGAGAUGGCAGCUGCUUCUCUGGCCCAGGCUGAGGCCAAGCCACAAGCUGGGAGGACAACUUGGAGCUCAGGCGUCCAACCAGGGCUGCAAAUUGCCCCUGCAGGGCCUGGCUGAGUCAGAAGGAGCCAGAGGAGGCGGAACUCUGAGUGACGGCUGAGUGGGGAGACACCCUUCAUCAUCUUGGUGUUCGCAUCUUUGGCCUGCUGCAUAGGCUCCACAAAGACCCUGCUCCUCACUGUUGGAGAAGGAAAGCAUUUGGGGUUGAGAUAUGACCGGUUCAACUCUGGCCAUCUUGAAAUCUCACCCAGAGGUGGAGUUUGUGAAGGAGAAAGAUACGUUGUAAUCCUUGAGCUGUGACUUGUUAAAUCUUCCAACCUCAGUGCUUAUAUUGAGCUGGAUAUACAGAUGCUUCUUGAUUUACGAUGCAGUUACCUGCCGAUAAACCCACUGUAAGUUGAAAACCUCCUAAGUGGAAAAUGCAUUUAACACACCAACCCUACCAAAUAUCAUAGCUUAGCCUAGCCUACCUUCAACACUUACAGUGCUCAGAACACUUACAUUAGCCUACAGUUGGGUGAAAUCAUCUCACACAAAGACUAUUUUAUAACAAAGUGUUGAAUGCCUCAUGCAAUUUAUUGACUACUAUACUGAAAGUGAAAAACAGAAUGGUUGUAUGGGUACUUGAAGUGCAGUUUCUACUGAAUGUGUAACACUUUUGCAUCACCGAAAACUAAAAAAAAUCCUAAGUUCAGCCAUCAUAAGUCGGGGAGUAUGUGUCCUGAAAGAUUAAAGGAGAGGGAUGCUUGGAGAUCUCUUUCCAGGAUAGAAUUAAGAGAUAGAAGGAAGGCAGGGGAAGGCCAGAGAAAGGAAAGGAACGGAGAA